rnacentral:rRNA from 1 species
CCUACGGGUGGCUGCAGUGGGGAAUAUUGGACAAUGGGCGAAAGCCUGAUCCAGCCAUGCCGCGUGUGUGAAGAAGGCCUUCGGGUUGUAAAGCACUUUCAGUGGGGAAGAAAGCCUUGGGGCUAAUACCCUCGAGGAAGGACAUCACCCACAGAAGAAGCACCGGCUAACUCCGUGCCAGCAGCCGCGGUAAUACGGAGGGUGCGAGCGUUAAUCGGAAUUACUGGGCGUAAAGCGCGCGUAGGCGGUCUGAUAAGCCGGUUGUGAAAGCCCCGGGCUCAACCUGGGAACGGCAUCCGGAACUGUCAGGCUAGAGUGCAGGAGAGGAAGGUAGAAUUCCCGGUGUAGCGGUGAAAUGCGUAGAGAUCGGGAGGAAUACCAGUGGCGAAGGCGGCCUUCUGGACUGACACUGACGCUGAGGUGCGAAAGCGUGGGUAGCAAACAGGAUUAGAUCCCUUGUAGUC